rnacentral:rRNA from 1 species
GACGAACGCUGGCGGCGUGCUUAACACAUGCAAGUCGAACGGGAAGGCCCUGCUUUUGUGGGGUGCUCGAGUGGCGAACGGGUGAGUAACACGUGAGUAACCUGCCCUUGACUUUGGGAUAACUUCAGGAAACUGGGGCUAAUACCGGAUAGGAGCUCCUGCUGCAUGGUGGGGGUUGGAAAGUUUCGGCGGUUGGGGAUGGACUCGCGGCUUAUCAGCUUGUUGGUGGGGUAGUGGCUUACCAAGGCUUUGACGGGUAGCCGGCCUGAGAGGGUGACCGGCCACAUUGGGACUGAGAUACGGCCCAGACUCCUACGGGAGGCAGCAGCGGGGAAUAUUGCACAAUGGGCGGAAGCCUGAUGCAGCAACGCCGCGUGCGGGAUGACGGCCUUCGGGUUGUAAACCGCUUUCGCCUGUGACGAAGCGUGAGUGACGGUAAUGGGUAAAGAAGCACCGGCUAACUACGUG